rnacentral:rRNA from 1 species
UACGGAGGGUGCAAGCGUUGUUCGGAAUUACUGGGCGUAAAGCGCGUGUAGGCGGCCGACUAAGUCUGGCCUGAAAGCCCCCGGCUCAACCGGGGAGAGUGGCUGGAAACUGGGCUUCUGGAGGGCGUUAGAGGAGAGUGGAAUUCCUGGUGUAGCGGUGAAAUGCGUAGAUAUCAGGAGGAACACCGAUGGCGAAGGCAGCUCUCUGGGGCGGCCCUGACGCUGAGGCGCGAAAGCGUGGGGAGCGAACGGGAUUAGAAACCCCUGUAGU